rnacentral:rRNA from 1 species
UACAGAGGAGCCAAGCGUUGUCCGGAUUGACUGGGCGUAAAGCGCACGCAGGCGGUUGCGUCGCGUGGGUGUGAAUCUGGCCGCUUAACGGCCAGGCGCCAUCCAUACGGCGCGACUGGAGUGAUGGCAGAGGUCGAUGGAAUUGCCGGUGUAGUGGUGAAAUGCGUGAGAGAUCGGGCAGGAACACCCAGGGGAACCAGCUCGACUGGGACAUCGUACUGACGCGAGGUGCGAGAGCGG